rnacentral:tRNA from 1 species
CAAUCUGUAGCUUAAACUAAAGCAUCUUACUUACACUAAGAAAAUACUUGAUAAAAUCUGGUCGGGUUGA